GUCCACGCUGUAAACGAUGAGUGCUAGAUGUCGGGGGUAUUGACCCCCUCGGUAUCGAAGCUAACGCGCUAAGCACUCCGCCUGGGGAGUACGGCCGCAAGGUUGAAACUCAAAGGAAUUGACGGGGGCCCGCACAAGCGGUGGAGUAUGUGGUUUAAUUCGACGCAACGCGCAGAACCUUACCCAGCCUUGACAUCCCUGGAAUCUGGUGGAAACAUCGGAGUGUCCUCGCAAGAGGAAGCCAGGAGACAGGUGCUGCAUGGCUGUCGU
rnacentral:rRNA from 1 species